rnacentral:rRNA from 1 species
UACGUAGGGGGCUAGCGUUGUCCGGAAUCAUUGGGUGUAAAGCGCGUGUAGGCGGCCCGGUAAGUCCGCUGUGAAAGUCGGGGGCUCAACCCUCGAAUGCCGGUGGAUACUGUCGGGCUAGAGUGCGGAAGAGGCGAGUGGAAUUCCUGGUGUAGCGGUGAAAUGCGCAGAUAUCAGGAGGAACACCGAUUGCGAAGGCAGCUCGCUGGGACGUUACUGACGCUGAGACGCGAAAGCGUGGGGAGCAAACAGG